UACAGAGGUCCCAAGCGUUGUUCGGAUUCAUUGGGCGUAAAGGGUGCGUAGGCGGCGCGGUAAGUCGGGUGUGAAAUCUCGGAGCUUAACUCCGAAACUGCAUUCGAUACUGCCGUGCUUGAGGACUGGAGAGGAGACUGGAAUUUACGGUGUAGCGGUGAAAUGCGUAGAUAUCUGGAGGAACACCGGUGGCGAAGGCGGCAUCCUGGACCGACACUGACGCUGAGGCGCGAAAGCUAGGGGAGCAAACGGG
rnacentral:rRNA from 1 species